AUCAAGUCUCUGAUCUCCCAGUGAAGAAGAAGAUCCAGAGGAUAAGAGUGAAUCUGGACUGGAACCAAGGAAAACUUUCCUUCUCCAAUCUGGAUACAAACACACACAUACACACCUUCACACACACUUUCACUGAGAAGAUGUUUCCAUACAUUAACACUGGGGAUCCCCUCCCAGUGAAGCUGCUACCAGUGAAACUCUGGAUCUCUUCCCAGUGAAGCUGUUACCAGUGAAACUCUUUAUAUUUGUUUGCUAUUUUGCCUAUAUUUGUAAAUUCUUUUAAAUUCUUUUUUAAUUUGUGUGGAGCCAUGAAGUCGAACAAACUGAUUAAGAUCCACGUUUUUACCCGUUUGCACAAGCAACUACAUUGUGUCUGGUAUCUGGUACAUACUGAACAUCGCAGCACAGCCGGUCAAACCCUGCACGAACCGCAACAUCAGCGUGUUUUGGCACAGGUGGGGCAGAAAGGUCUCACAGAGCCAGACAGCAGCCUGUUACACAACACACAAGAGCCACAGACCCUGAACUACAACAACCUACAUCAGCUUUCUCGCGAAAGGUGUUUGCAGGCGACAGCGCGAGUUUGUUCCCUUUGUGCUCUCACUCCCUACGACAUCAGCUCUCUGGUAGCCCUACAGCUGCUGUCAAUGCAACGGGGAAAGGGACACAUGCCGGCUGGAGGGGCGUGGGAAGCAAAGGGACGUCUCUAUUUUCCUCAAAGGGCCCUUUUCCGUUCUUUUUCGAUACAUUUGCAAAACACAUUUUGGGCUGCAAUUAAUGCAAGUCUCAUUUCAGAUCUCUAGUGACGGUUUUCUUUCCUUUUUACAAAAACGACUGGGUGCAUGUGUCCGGGACUUGGCAGGUCCCACACACACAUGUCGUAAAUAGCUGAUCAUUUACAUUAUUUAGAAAUGAGCCAUGUGUGUUUGUCCAAAACUAUCAAGUGACACAUGUUCAACUUAACAAUGGCAUAACGUUUGCAUGGAAAAAUAACAAUGUUAUGUCAGUUGCCUGCUAGGAUACGGAAUGUGGUCAUUGUUGCCGUCGCACUGCCUCUCUGUUGUUUGUAACUGAUUCGCAAUCUGAAACUCUGAACACGCCAACCACAGAAUAUUCAUUAAUCAGACUUCAUCGCACAGGAAUAGUGGAGCUGUUUUUGGAAACCCUUCUAGUUAUAUUAAAUAGGAAGGUGCCUGUUGUUGCAGACCAUGGGUAGUUUUUCCUCUUUGUUCAGUAUCGUCCUUUUAAUCUGUAAACUGCUGACAGCAGGUUUGCGUACUGCGCUUUUAUACAAACAUUUGCAUUUUUGUUAUUUGAGCACAGAGAAAGGCAUAGUGCCAACCAUUAACAAGCUCAUGGGGGUUUACAUAUAUGUGUCAGCCAUUGUUGGCCGCUGCGAAUCACGAGCCAACACACGAAUAAAUCACACUUCAAUCACACACACACCCACGCAUAGAGACAGACACAUAGGCUCAGUGAUUUCUUUGCAUUCAUCCGUUUUGUUCCUCUUUUACCACAAAAGGAGUAGGCUGAUGCAGAAACUGUGAGAUAGUCCCCGGAGAGCUCCCUCUACAGAGAAACUACAUGUUCCUAAUAAUAACAGUUUUCUGUGUGUGUGUGUGUGAUAACAAGGAAGUGUGACGGUGUGUGUGUGAGUCCCUGUUCAUCCCUCCAUAAUGAAUUCCUCAGCCCCUAGCCCUAACCACUACUUGCCUAUUGUAUAUCUAACCCUAACCUUAACUACUAACCCUAAAAUCUGAGGUAAAAAGUAGCCUAUGAACAAAACACACACACACACACACACACAUACACACGCAAACACACACAAAAUAGGAGUUAAAAGUAGCCAAUGAAAAAAAGUCACAAAAUAUACAUGCAUUCCUUAACAAUGAUAUACAUGCUUGUCUGACUCACGUGGAGCUCCUGAUGGAAAAUCCCCAAUGAAUCCAUAUGUGAAUUUGAUGACGGUGAAAGUACACGUUUAUGCCAAGUGACUGUUUUCAUCCAUUUACUAGAUGUUCAUUGUGGAAAUUGCUCUGGCCACAUCUACGGAUAAUUCAUGUGGAAUAUUUGCAAUCUGGACAAACUGCUGUCCAUACCGGACAACUCCAACCACCCGCUGCACAACACCUUCACCAGGCAGAGGAGUGUGUUCAGUGGCCGACUGCUGUCAAAGUCCAGCUCCACCAACAGUCCCCCUGGCCAUCAGACUGUACAACAGCUCCUAGUAAAGGCAGGGAGGACAAUAGAAAAGGACAAUUUAUUUCUACCUUCAUUUGCACAUCCAUUUUGCACCGUUCCCGUUUUGCACUGUCAUAAGCUAGUUUUUAUAGUUAUAGUUUAAUAUUUAACUUAAUUUUGUAUUUUUAUUUUAUGUAGGAUUGAUGUAUGUUUAAUGUAUGUAUGUUUGUAAAUGCUGCUGGAUGCCUGAAUUUCCCUCAGGAUAAAUAAAGUAUCUACUAAACUAAACUAAACCCAAUGUAGAUUGUCUCUCUCAGCACAACAGCAUAUGCUAAACAACCAUGGUCUCCAAGGUCUCUC
rnacentral:lncRNA from 1 species